rnacentral:rRNA from 1 species
AUACGGAGGGUGCAGGCGUUAUCCGGAAUCAUUGGGUUUAAAGGGUCCGCAGGCGGAUUAAUAAGUCAGUGGUGAAAUCCUCUCGCUCAACGAGAGAACUGCCAUUGAAACUGUUAGUCUUGAAUUCGGUCGAAGUAGGCGGAAUGUGUCAUGUAGCGGUGAAAUGCAUAGAUAUGACACAGAGCACCGAUAGCGAAGGCAGCUUACUAGACCUGGAUUGACGCUCAUGGACGAAAGCGUGGGGAGCGAACAGGAUUAGAAACCCUAGUAGUCC